rnacentral:lncRNA from 1 species
CACAGUAAGGACAGGUUUUUAUUUGACUUACAAGGCAGAUUAGGAGAGAGUGUGAAUCCAUUCGCAUCUGUACAUGAAUUACAUGCCGUACACAUUUGCUACCUGUAGUCACGGGUCAUAUUUUACAUGAGUUUAUAUAUUAAGAAAUCGCAUGAAGAUUACCUUGUUUAAACAUUCAUGAAGUACAACAUCCCCCAAGAGAACUGAAGACAGAAAUUCCGUUUCGUCCCUCCCGAGAGCUUCACUCACCUUCCUCUUGGUGCAUCUCAGCUCUGCAUCCACCACCCCCUGCUGCAAAAUGUUCAGGCUUAUCUGCUCUGAGGGUAUGAUGAUUAUUUUUAGUGGGAGAAGCUUAGAGGAAAUGCAGAUUUGGAAGUAACGCGUGAACCAUUUGGCAAGGUCGAGCCCUGUCUGUCAGCUACGAAUCUUGCCCCUUCCUGACUACUCUCACUGGCUCCCCUUGCAGAGAAGCCUCAACACCUAACAUGUUGUAUGUUCCAAACUUGGCUGAGAGCUCCCCCCACCCCCACCCCCUGCCAAAUCCAAAUAUUCU